AGCCUCGUCCCAAAGUGCAUACUUCUCUUCCAAAGCGAAAGAAUCUGCCAGAGUUAGAUCUUCUCUCAUGAUCAAUUUUUCGAAUAGCGAGUGGUCUACUAGAAGUCCAUUUUGGAAGAAUGUUAUAGUUAUCGAGUCGUUGCAGCCGACUAUCAUUGCCUUCUCUGCUUUGAACCUCUUCACAUAGUCACAAAGUGACUCCUUUGGGUUCUUCUUGACGUUGAACAAAUGAUUGGACUUCUUUUUUAUUGAGCGAUAGGAUGAAUAUUCUUUGGUGAAAACCAAAUAAAGUUCGUCAAAACUCCUGAUGGAUUGUGGCAGCAGGGUGUAGAACCAAUCUUACGCCUCGCCUUGUAGAGUAGUGGCGAAUAUCUUGCACAUGAGAUCAUCGUUGUUUUGAUAGAGGAUCAUUGCGCUUCGGUAGUGCUUUAAGCGUCUCUCCGGGUCUUCAUCCUUUUUGAAAUAUAUGAAAUGUGGCAUACUAAACUCAAGUGGAGGCUCUGCCUGCUCAAUCUCGUCUGUGAAGGGUGACCUGCUUAUGUUGGUCAUGUUCCAUCGUAAUGCCUCGUCGAGGACCUCGUUGCAUUAGAAAUUACCCAAUCGAUUGGUCAAUAGUCUCUCUACUUCUUCCUGAAUUUGCCUUUGUUAAGGUAGCGGAGCUCUCAGCUGCCCCUAGUCUCGAUUUGCUGGUCUAUGCUGCUCUUCCAUAUGUUUGGCUCAUCUAAGCCUAGAUGUGGUUCAUGUGGUGCGUUCCUAGCAUGCGAGCGAGUUCUUCACAGGCUGCCGAUUGAACUUGAGCCGGAUUUAGUGACUGCUUCUCUCUGUCCUUUGUGCUGUCUACUCCGAUGUGAGGUGGAUGAUGCUCCUUACAGGCUUAGCCGUGAAUAAACAUUUGCCUGAAAGGUUGCUCAUGUUUAUUAUCGGAGUGUGACCUCAACCAUGAAUGUACGCUCGUCUGUGAGCCUAAUCGAGAAUGCACG
rnacentral:lncRNA from 1 species